rnacentral:snoRNA from 1 species
AGAAGGGGAUGAUGGAAUCUCAAGAAAAUUCCUCUAGGUAGUUAAGUUCUGA